AUUGAACGCUGGCGGCAGGCCUAACACAUGCAAGUCGAACGAGUGGCGGACGGGUGAGUAAUGUCUGGGAAACUGCCCGAUGGAGGGGGAUAAAUACUGGAAAAGGUAGCUAAUACCGCAUACCAUCGGAUGUGCCCAGAUGGGAUUAGCUAGUAGGUGGGGUAACGGCUCCCCUAGGCGACGAUCCCUAGCUGGUCUGAGAGGCUGACCAGCCCCACUGCAACUGAGACACGGUCCAGACGCCUACGGGAGGCAGCAGUGGGGAAUAUUGCACAAUGGGCGCAAGCCUGAUGCAGCCAUGCCGCGUGUAUGAAGAAGUCCUUCGGGUUGUAAAGUACUUUCAGCGAGGAGGCGUUACUCGCAGAAGAAGCACCGGCUAACUCCGUGCCAGCAGCCGCGGUAAUAC
rnacentral:rRNA from 1 species